AGGCCAUAAUGUUGGCACUUCCUUAGCAAGUUGUUCAAACGCUCCCAUGCUUCAUGUAAGGGCUCUCCAUCUCCUUGGGCAAAAUCACAAAUUAAAGUUCUAAUUGA